CUCAUCCCCUCCCCCUUAUUCCCAAAUUAGUUCUAAAACAAAAAUCCCUAAGUGUCUGGCUGUUUGUCGCUCACCACCUCUACCCGUCCAACACUGCUACCUGUUGACAGUAGUCUCCACUUUGACGACCACUCUGUCUCCCGCUUCCUUUGUCACCAACGCACAACUAAUUUCUUCAGCCGGCCCUCCCUAAAUUUCCUCAUCCUUAAUCCCUGUCGACUAUUUUCUGUCACUUCGUCUGUUGCCUGCUUCCAUUAUUACAGCAGGACUAAGAACUCAAAUCCAACUCAGGUUGGCAGGUAGAAAAUUCAGUUAUCAGGUGGAAUUAUUGUUUGCUCCUACGUUAUCGUAAUCGAGAAAAUUCUGGAUCAAAGUUUGAUGGUUGACUCUAAGAAAUUUACAAUUGAUUGUCAUUGUAAUAGUUGGAAAGUGUUAAUACUUUUGAGUUGUGUUUUCCUUAAUUAGAAUAAGACUAAAAUCUAAUUGUUUGAAUUAGACAAAUAUGUUGUUCUCUGUUGUAUCUGGCUUAAUGUGAUCUGGUUGUACAA